UACGGAGGGUGCAAGCGUUAUCCGGAUUCACUGGGUUUAAAGGGUGCGUAGGUGGGUUGGUAAGUCAGUGGUGAAAUCUCCGUGCUUAACAUGGAAACUGCCAUUGAUACUAUCAAUCUUGAAUGUAGUGGAGGUAGGCGGAAUGCGUCAUGUAGCGGUGAAAUGCUUAGAUAUGACGCAGAACACCAAUUGCGAAGGCAGCUUGCUACACUACUAUUGACACUGAGGCACGAAAGCGUGGGGAUCAAACAGG
rnacentral:rRNA from 1 species